GCCUAGCUGGCUCAGUCAGUAGAACAUGUGACUCUUGAUCUCAGGGUCGUGAGUUCAAGACCCAUGCUGGGCA
rnacentral:tRNA from 1 species